AUACGUGAUGAGCUUUUUAAACACUUCUAAUGCUAGAUAGUAUCUGAAAAUUAAUUUAAUGAUUUCGGUGUUUUAGACAAUGGGAAUCUCUCUGAAA
rnacentral:snoRNA from 1 species